CUCUUCUUCUACUGGGAGUGUCAGCGUUUUAACAGUAAAAAGACCAUCGCCUUGGAACCUCUUAACCAACACGACGUCUUGCUGCAUCCACGUGACUACUGAUCACGCACCUUUCCGCUGCUAGCCUGUCCUGCGAACCGAUUCUGAUGCAUUAAGUACCUGGAGCGUUCAUAGAAGCAAUAUAAAGAAAGGCAGCCGGAAAAAAGCAUGCAUAGCCGCAUGCUAAUUGCGGGAUUAAAUUGGAACUCGGAACUCAUACUCGCUCUUUAUUCGCCUCACCUUCUAGUCUACUCAGUGGAAGCGAAAAUGAAGCGUGACGGGCGUGGGAGUUUUCCUCCUCGUGCUUCAUUAUGAAAUAUCCUUAUCGUGCCUGUACAAAUACAUGAUAGUGCUGUUAAAAUACACGGUUAAUACUCUUCUGCAUCUACGCCUAUGAAUUCCGGACUCCAAGCCUGACAAUAUUAAUUAGCGUAACAUUACAAUGUUGAUAGAUUUACCUUCAUUCAGAAUUGUCCUAUGAGGGACAUGCAGUCAGAACAUAUCAACAACUGUUCCUUAACUGCUUCAAGUGAUCUUCUGAACAGCUGGAAACUUAUUGCCCACUUCAUGUGCUAAAUGAUCUUGCUUAAGUGAGAUAAAAAAUUAUGCCUGUGUUUAGUGAUAUUAUCAAGUCUCAUUUUCUUCUCUAUGUGUGUAGCUUGUGGACGAAUUCGCGAAAGCCAUUGUGAUUGAAGCCAUAAUUUCAUGUAAUACCAAAUUUCUUCUGUAGUUCUAGGACUGAAAUAAAAUUGUUUUUUCACAGGUAAAA